CUACGUGCCAGCAGCCGCGGUAAUACGGAGGGUGCGAGCGUUAAUCGGAAUAACUGGGCGUAAAGGGCACGCAGGCGGUGACUUAAGUGAGGUGUGAAAGCCCCGGGCUUAACCUGGGAAUUGCAUUUCAUACUGGGUCGCUAGAGUACUUUAGGGAGGGGUAGAAUUCCACGUGUAGCGGUGAAAUGCGUAGAGAUGUGGAGGAAUACCGAAGGCGAAGGCAGCCCCUUGGGAAUGUACUGACGCUCAUGUGCGAAAGCGUGGGGAGCAAACAGGAUUAGAUACCCUGGUAGUCCACGCUGUAAACGAUGUCGAUUUGGGGGUUGAGCUUUAAGCUUGGCGCCCGUAGCUAACGUGAUAAAUCGACCGCCUGGGGAGUACGGCCGCAAGGUUAAAACUCAAAUGAAUUGACGGGGGCCCGCACAAGCGGUGGAGCAUGUGGUUUAAUUCGAUGCAACGCGAAGAACCUUACCUACUCUUGACAUCCAGA
rnacentral:rRNA from 1 species